rnacentral:lncRNA from 1 species
UUUUGAAUAAAUGGGUUCAAUGUUUGUGAGUUAGGACUGAUUUCGAAUAAAUGUCUUAAUAGGGGGGUACUUUGGUUAUUUCAUCAAAGUUAAAUGAAAUUAGGGCUUUUAUGAAAAGGAAUCUCAUGGAGGGACUGAUUGUGUUUAAUGGUCCAAACUUAUAAGAAAUUAGGGCUUUAUCUCCCCCUCGUCACUUGCUGCUUAAUCAAAAAGAGAAACGCGAAUGAAAGCAGAUAGAACGAAGAUGGCAGGAAAGAGAACGAAGGCUCGCAGGCGAGGUUUCUUCGGUCGAUUCGCGAGAAGGAUCGCCGUCUCUGGGAUUCGACGAGGCCGAAGGGGAGAAGGGAGAAUCGUUCCGGAGCGUCGCGAGCAGCAAUCAGUGGCAUAGGCGAGGCUUCGGCGGUCGUUGGUCGAUGGGAGGAAAAGGGGAGGCACGAGGGGUGAGGUCAGAAGAGGAAUCCAGGGAUUGUCGAUCGGUGGUGCUCCUGUCCGGCUGUGAGGUGCGAAGGCAGGGGAUUCGGUGUGGCUAAGAGGUUGCGACGGUAAGGAGGCCAGAAAAGGGUUCGGUAGAAAAAGGAAAUCAAGUGGAAGCUUUGGUGGGUUUUGCUCGACUGGAGGAGGUGUGAGGUGCGAUGAGGAAUACGAUUCAACAACAACAGUGAUCGAAGCGUGUUGGGCUUGCUAUUGUUUGAUAAUCACAGGUUUCCCCGCUUUUUUGUUGCGUGUUUGACAUAAAUCUAUGGAACCUAAGUGGUUGUUUGGGUUUUGCUGUCUUACAGGGAAUGAAAAAGGAAUCACUGGAGUCCCUUUGAUUGACUGGUUUUACAAGAACAACACCUCCAAUGGAGGUGUUCUUAACUGGAACGAAGGAGAAAAAUAUAGAAGACUGGAUGUUGAUUACUGGUGAUUCAUUGACGGCUUUAUUUGAGGAAGGAAACACGUUUCCUUUGUAUUUGUGUGUAGUAUUGUCUAACAUGGAUGUUUACUUUUGUGUGCAAAUAGGCUAGUUAAAAUGUGGAAGUAACAUUUCCAUCUGGCUGUCAAUUUAUUUAAGAGGUGUAUUUGUCUUUAAAUUGGCAAGCAAUGUAUUAAUUUAUUGCUUUAAUUAUUUAUGUAUUUUGUUUGGAUUUAGAAACAAUGUAAAACCCC